GGGUUAGCAGUGGCCUUGUGAGCGUGAGGAGCUGCCGCCACCGCCUGCUCCUCGUCGUCCUCGUCCUCCGCGGCCCCGGCGACGUGGGCCGCGCACGGCCCUGGAAGAGACGUCGCCUCCCCUUCAUCCACCUCUCUCUCACCGCGCCGCUCCCGCCUCCUCGUCCUGUGCUGCGGGCUCAGGCGGAACCCGGAACGGUCGUCCUCUUCCCCCGCCCGCCGCCGCCUCCUCCUUCUCCUCCUUCUCGGCUUCCUCCUCAGCCCCGGGCCGGAGCGGGGUGUUGGCGGCGGCCGGUUCGGGCGGCGACUCGCGCUUCUCUGGGCGGCGGCGCUUGGCCAUGUCGUGUCGGGGAAGGUAAUGAGCCGCAGAGCCCCGGGGUCUCGGCUGAGCGGCGGCGGCGGCACCAACGGCACCAACUAUUCGCGGAGCUGGAAUGACUGGCAACCCAGAACUGAUAGUGCAUCAGCCGACCCAGGUAAUUUAAAAUAUUCUUCAUCCAGAGAUAGAGGUGGUUCUUCCUCUUACGGACUGCAACCUUCAAAUUCAGCUGUGGUGUCUCGGCAAAGGCACGAUGAUACCAGAGUCCACGCUGACAUACAGAAUGACGAAAAGGAGAGAUCGAUGUCUUAUUGUGAUGAGUCUCGACUGUCAUAUCUUCUUCGGAGGAUCACCCGGGAAAACGACCGAGACCGAAGAUUGGCUACUGUAAAGCAGUUGAAAGAAUUUAUUCAGCAACCAGAAAAUAAGCUGGUACUAGUUAAACAAUUGGAUAUCUUGGCUGCUGUACAUGAUGUGCUUAAUGAAAGUAGCAAAUUGCUUCAGGAGUUGAGACAGGAGGGAGCUUGCUGUCUCGGCCUUCUUUGUGCUUCUCUGAGCUAUGAGGCUGAGAAGAUCUUCAAGUGGAUUUUUAGCAAAUUUAGCUCAUCUGCAAAAGAUGAAGUUAAACUCCUCUACUUAUGUGCCACCUACAAAGCACUAGAGACUGUAGGAGAAAAGAAAGCCUUUUCAUCUGUAAUGCAGCUUGUAAUGACCAGCCUGCAGUCAAUUCUUGAAAAUGUGGAUACACCAGAAUUGCUUUGCAAAUGUGUUAAGUGCAUUCUUUUGGUGGCUCGAUGUUACCCUCAUAUUUUCAGCACUAAUUUUAGGGAUACAGUUGGUAUAUUAGUUGGAUGGCAUAGAGAUCAUACUCAGAAACCUUCGCUCACGCAGCAGGUAUCUGGGUGGUUGCAGAGUUUGGAGCCAUUUUGGGUAGCUGAUCUUGCAUUUUCUACGCCUCUACUUGGUCAGUUUCUAGAAGACAUGGAAGCAUAUGCUGAGGACCUCAGCCAUGUGGCCGCUGGGGAAUCAGUGGAUGAAGACGUCCCUCCUCCAUCAGUGUCAUUACCAAAGCUGGCUGCGCUUCUCCGGGUAUUUAGUACUGUGGUGAGGAGCACUGGGGAAAGCCUCAGCCCAAUUCGGGCCCUCCAAUUACUGAGGCAUACGUAACAGAUGUUCUGUACAGAGUAAUGAGAUGUGUGACGGCUGCAAACCAGGUGUUUUUUUCUGAGGCUGUGUUGACAGCUGCUAAUGAGCGUGUUGGUGUUUUGCUCGGCAGCUUGGAUCCUAGCAUGACUAUACAUUGUGACAUGGUCAUUACAUAUGGAUUAGACCAACUGGAGAAUUGCCAGACUUGUGGUACCGAUUAUAUCAUCUCAGUCUUGAAUUUACUCACGCUGAUUGUUGAACAGAUAAAUACGAAACUGCCAUCAUCAUUUGUAGAAAAACUGUUUAUACCAUCAUCUAAACUACUAUUCUUGCGUUAUCAUAAAGAAAAAGAGGUUGUUGCUGUAGCCCGUGCUGUUUAUCAAGCAGUGCUCAGCUUGAAGAAUAUUCCUGUUUUGGAGACUGCCUAUAAGUUAAUAUUGGGAGAAAUGACUUGUGCCCUAAACAACCUCCUGCACAGUCUGCAGCUUCCUGAGUCCUGUUCUGAAAUAAAACAUGAGGCUUUUAAGAAUCAUGUGUUCAAUGUAGACAAUGCAAAAUUUGUAGUUAAAUUUGACCUCAGUGCCCUGACUACAAUUGGAAAUGCCAAAAACUCACUAAUAGGGAUGUGGGCGCUAUCUCCAACUGUCUUUGCACUUCUGAGUAAGAAUCUGAUGAUUGUGCACAGUGACCUGGCUGUUCACUUCCCUGCCAUUCAGUAUGCUGUGCUCUACACAUUGUAUCCUCAUUGUACCAGG
ensembl:lncRNA novel transcript